AAUGAACGUUGGCGGCGUGGAUUAGGCAUGCAAGUCGAGCGGGUGUAGCAAUACACCAGGGGCGAAAGGGAGAGUAAUACGUGGGUACCUGCCCUCGGACCUGGGAUAGCUUCGGGAAACUGAAGGUAAUACCAGAUAACGUCUCCGGACCAAAGGUGUGAUUCCGUCCGGGGAGGGGCCCGCGUCCUAUUAGCUAGUUGGUGAGGUAACGGCUCACCAAGGCGAAGAUGGGUACGAGGCGUGAGAGCGUGUCCUAGCUCACUGGGACUGAGACACUGCCCAGACACCUACGGGUGGCUGCAGUCGAGAAUCUUCGGCAAUGGGCGCAAGCCUGACCGAGCGACGCCGCGUGCGGGAUGAAGGCCUUCGGGUUGUAAACCGCUGUCAGUAGGGAGGAACGGUCUGGGGGUUCUCCCCCAGAUUUGACCUAUCUGCAGAGGAAGGACGGGCUAAGUUCGUGCCAGCCGCCGCGGUAA
rnacentral:rRNA from 1 species